rnacentral:rRNA from 1 species
UACGGGAGGCAGCAGUGGGGAAUAUUGCACAAUGGGCGAAAGCCUGAUGCAGCUAUGCCGCGUGUAUGAAGAAGGCCUUAGGGUUGUAAAGUACUUUCAUCGGGGAGGAAAAAACAAAACUAAUAAUUUUAUUUCUUGACGUUACCCGAAAAAGAAGCACCGGCUAACUCCGUGCCAGCAGCCGCGGUAAUACGGAGGGUGCUAGCGUUAAUCAGAAUUACUGGGCGUAAAGAGCACGUAGGUGGUUUUUUUAAGUCAGAUGUGAAAUCCCUGGGCUUAACCUGGAACUGCAUUUUGAAACUGAAAUACUAGAGUAUCGUAGAGGGAGGUAGAAUUCUAGGUGUAGCGGUGAAAUGCGUAGAUAUCUGGAGGAAUACCUGUGGCGAAAGCGGCCUCCUAAACGAAUACUGACACUGAGGGUGCGAAAAGCGUGGGGAGCAAACAGGGAUUAGAUACC